UGAGGAAUAUUGCGCAAUGGGGGAAACCCUGACGCAGCAACGCCGUGUGGGUGAUGAAGGCUCUCGGGUCGUAAAGCCCUGUCAGGUGGAAAGAACGCUAUGUGGCUAAUAUCCAUAUAGCCUGACGGUACCACCAGAGGAAGCACCGGCCAACUCCGUGCCAGCAGCCGCGGUAAUACGGAGGGUGCAAGCGUUGUUCGGAAUCAUUGGGCGUAAAGGGCGUGUAGGCGGUUAAUCAAGUUAGAUGUGAAAUCCCUGGGCUCAACCCAGGAAGUGCAUCUGAGACUGAUGAACUAGAGUACAGGAGAGGAAGGUGGAAUUCCUGGUGUAGGGGUGAAAUUCGUAGAUAUCGGGAAGAACACCGGUGGCGAAGGCGGCCUUCUGGCCUGAUACUGACGCUGAGACGCGAAAGCGUGGGGAGCAAACA
rnacentral:rRNA from 1 species